UACGUAGGGCGCGAGCGUUGUCCGGAAUCAUUGGGCGUAAAGAGCUCGUAGGCGGUCUGUCACGUCGGCUGUGAAAACCCGCAGCUCAACUGUGGGCUUGCAGCCGAUACGGGCGGGCUGGAGUUCGGUAGGGGAGACUGGAAUUCCUGGUGUAGCGGUGAAAUGCGCAGAUAUCAGGAGGAACACCGGUGGCGAAGGCGGGUCUCUGGGCCGAUACUGACGCUGAGGAGCGAAAGCGUGGGGAGCGAACAGG
rnacentral:rRNA from 1 species